AUGAAAAACGUAUACAUUUUUUAUCAGCAGAAAUAUGUUCCGUCGUCUACAGCCUCUAGUGAGAGAAACACUCCAUCAAGUACUUUAGAGUCGCAAAUAAAGAAAGAUUUAAACAGUCCUCAGUUGCAGGCUUUUAGAGAAAUAAAUGACAACCUUGGAUUGGAGGAGAUUAUACAGUUAUUAAAAAAAAUUCGUAUUUCUAAAGGUCCUGAAUAUCAAUUUAGUGCUGAAGACUUAGAUAAUUGCCUUCAUGAAAGUGAGAAAAAAACUUGAACUAUCGCUAACACUCCUUUGGACAAUAGAAGGAGUACAUUUUUGCUUUUUAUUGUUGAAACUAACUGAUGUGUUGUAGCAUGAAUUUAAGAAGUACUUGCCUUUAAGCUCAGAAAUUGAUAAAUCUGGGGUUAAAAAUUAAACUGGAGUAGGGAAACAUCUAGAAAUAAAUAUGGAGUGCCUUUAAGUGGCAAUACAUUCUGCGUCAUUUCAACACAGCUUCUUUACUGCCCCACUUUAGGCUCAAUGAGCCAUAAGCACUCUGUGGUCAUAUGGCCUUGGAACAUGGUUUUCACAAGGUUUCUGAUGGGUGGCAGGUUGACAGUUAAAUAGCUGUUCUUGGUUUAAUGAUUUACUUAAAGCCCAGAUUUUUUUUUCCGAAGAAAACAAUGGCAGAUUAAAUCUCCAAGGACGUACUUGUCUAGAGAACAUGGGAAGUAGAUUGAACUAGUGAUGAUUACAUUUUGUGAUCAUCACAUUUGAUCAGAUAUUCUCUGCUAUUACUGAUCAAAUCUCCAAGGACUUACUUGUCUAGAGUACAUGUGAUUGUAGAGAUGAUCAGUGAUUGUGUGUUCAGCACAAUGCUUGAUCAGGUAUUCUCAGCUAUUUUGUUUGCUGACUGCUGGAAUGUGGGCUGUCCUUUUUGGAAAUCAAAUGUAAUCCCACCACAUCAGGACUGCUCUAUCUUUUGGGGCUUCCCCUUGUUCAAUUUGGGCUUAACUUUAGUUUUCUAUUAGACACUGGUUCUCAAUCUCUUGGGAAUAGGCAACCGUGAUUGUAAAUUUUUAUUUUGUUUCCUGUUCCGUCACAAUUAUUAACUAAUAAUUCAACAAUAAUUGUAAUAGUGUUAAGAGUUAAUACAUAAGGACUACAGUUUGCCUCACUAAAUAAUGUUUAAGUACAUAUUUCAAAUUUUUUUUAGCAGCUAAAAACUAAAGCAUUUAGGACAAGAGUAUAUAAAAUUUAAGAGGAAGCAUUUCUCAGGAGAUUGAAAACCACUUGUCUUCAAUGACCAUGUUAUUCAAAGGAAAUCUAUAAACUAAACUGUAUAAACUAAAACACUAGACUUUGGACAUAUAAGAAUUUAAAAUGAAUGAACUCAGCAGACCUUUCACUUACUAGAUGUUAAAUAUGUGUUUGAUGUUUGAGUUUCCCUUUUAUUGGUUGUUGCACACAACAAGCAGUGUAACUUAUCGAAAA
rnacentral:sRNA from 1 species